GUGAGGAAUAUUGGUCAAUGGGCGAGAGCCUGAACCAGCCAAGUAGCGUGCAGGAUGACGGCCCUAUGGUUCGUAAACUUCUUUUGCAGGGGAAUAAAGUGCAGGACGUGUCCUGUUUUGUAUGUACCCUGAGAAUAAGGAUCGGCUAACUCCGUGCCAGCAGCCGCGGUAAUACGGAGGAUCUGAGCGUUAUCCGGAUUUAUUGGGUUUAAAGGGUGCGUAGGUGGUUUGAUAAGUCAGCGGUGAAAGUUUGCAGCUUAACUGUAAAAAUGCCGUUGAAACUGUCGGACUUGAGUGUAAAUGAGGUAGGCGGAAUGCGUGGUGUAGCGGUGAAAUGCAUAGAUAUCACGCAGAACUCCGAUUGCGAAGGCAGCUUACUAAGCUACAACUGACACUGAAGCACGAAAGCGUGGGGAUCGAACAGGAUUAGAUACCCUGGUAGUCC
rnacentral:rRNA from 1 species